CAGUAGCCGCGGGAAUACAGAGGGUGCAAGCGUUAAUCGGAAUUACUGGGCGUAAAGCGCGCGUAGGUGGUUUGUUAAGUUGGAUGUGAAAUCCCCGGGCUCAACCCAUAGUCUGCAUAGGAAACUGUCGGGCUUGAGGAUGGGAGAGGUGAGUGGAAUUUCCGGUGUAGCGGUGAAAUGCGUAGAUAUCGGAAGGAACACCUGUGGCGAAAGCGGCUCACUGGACCAUUACUGACGCUGAUGCACGAAAGCUAGGGGAGCAAACAGGAUUAGAUACCCGCGUAGUCCCUGUCUCUUAUAC
rnacentral:rRNA from 1 species